rnacentral:rRNA from 1 species
GACGAACGCUGGCGGCGUGCUUAACACAUGCAAGUCGAACGGUGAAGCUCCAGCUUGCUGGAGUGGAUCAGUGGCGAACGGGUGAGUAACACGUGAGCAACCUGCCCCUGACUCUGGAAUAAGCGCUGGAAACGGCGUCUAAUACUGGAUACGAGAAGGGUCCGCAUGGGCACUUUCUGGAAAGUUUUUCGGUUGGGGAUGGGCUCGCGGCCUAUCAUCUUGUUGGUGAGGUAAUGGCUCACCAAGGCGACGACGGGUAGCCGGCCUGAGAGGGCGACCGGCCACACUGGGACUGAGACACGGCCCAGACUCCUACGGGAGGCAGCAGUGGGGAAUAUUGCACAAUGGGCGAAAGCCUGAUGCAGCGACGCCGCGUGAGGGAUGACGGCCUUCGGGUUGUAAACCUCUUUCAGCAGGGAAGAAGCGAAAGUGACGGUACCUGCAGAAGAAGCACCGGCUAACUACGUG